AGUGAACGCUGGCGGCGUGCCUAAUACAUGCAAGUCGAACGAACGAAUAAGAGCUUGCUCUUAUAAGUUAGUGGCGCACGGGUGAGUAAUAUAUAGCUAAUCUGCCUCUUAGUAGAGGAUAACAGUCGGAAACGAUUGCUAAUACUCUAUACUUCUGCUUUACAUAAGUAAAGUAGAGAAAGUUUUUCGCUAAGAGAUGAGGCUAUACUGUAUCAGCUAGUUGGUAAGGUAACGGCUUACCAAGGCUAUGACGCAUAACUGGUCUGAGAGGAUGAUCAGUCACAUUGGAACUGAGACACGGUCCAAACUCCUACGGGAGGCAGCAGUAGGGAAUAUUGCGCAAUGGGGGAAACCCUGACGCAGCAACGCCGCGUGGAGGAUGACACUUUUCGGAGCGUAAACUCCUUUUAUCGGGAAAGAAUAAUGACGGUACCCGACGAAUAAGCACCGGCUAACUCCGUG
rnacentral:rRNA from 1 species